AUUGAACGCUGGCGGCAGGCCUAACACAUGCAAGUCGAACGAGUGGCGGACGGGUGAGUAAUGUCUGGGAAACUGCCUGAUGGAGGGGGAUAACUACUGGAAACGGUAUCUAAUACCGCAUACCCUCGGAUGUGCCCAGAUGGGAUUCGUUUGUAGGUGGGGUAAAGGCUCACCUAGGCGACGAUCCCUAGCUGGUCUGAGAGGAUGACCAGCAACACUGGAACGGAGACACGGUCCAGACUCCUACGGAGGGCAGCAGUGGGGAAUAUUGCACAAUGGGCGCAAGCCGGAUGCAGACAUGCCGCGUGUAUGAAGAAGGCCUUCGGGUUGUAAAGUACUUUAAGCGGGGAGGCGUUACCCGCAGAAGAAGCACCGGCUAACUCCGUGCCAGCAGCCGCGGUAAUUC
rnacentral:rRNA from 1 species